GGAGGACGGAGUGCUAUACCUUUCAGUGAGUGGCGAACGGGUGAGUAACACGUGGACAACCUGCCUCAAGGCUGGGGAUAACAUUUGGAAACAGAUGCUAAUACCGAAUAAAACUUAGUGUCGCAUGACACAAAGUUAAAAGGCGCUUCGGCGUCACCUAGAGAUGGAUCCGCGGUGCAUUAGUUAGUUGGUGGGGUAAAGGCCUACCAAGACAAUGAUGCAUAGCCGAGUUGAGAGACUGAUCGGCCACAUUGGGACUGAGACACGGCCCAAACUCCUACGGGAGGCUGCAGUAGGGAAUCUUCCACAAUGGGCGAAAGCCUGAUGGAGCAACGCCGCGUGUGUGAUGAAGGCUUUCGGGUCGUAAAGCACUGUUGUAUGGGAAGAACAGCUAGAAUAGGAAAUGAUUUUAGUUUGACGGUACCAUACCAGAAAGGGACGGCUAAAUACGUGCCAGCAGCCGCGGUAAUACGUAUGUCCCGAGCGUUAUCCGGAUUUAUUGGGCGUAAAGCGAGCGCAGACGGUUUAUUAAGUCUGAUGUGAAAGCCCGGAGCUCAACUCCGGAAUGGCAUUGGAAACUGGUUAACUUGAGUGCAGUAGAGGUAAGUGGAACUCCAUGUGUAGCGGUGAAGGGCCGUAGAUAAAA
rnacentral:rRNA from 3 species